GAGCUUAUGGUGUAAAUAACACGAUAGAUUGCAAAUUUAUAGAAGGUACUAGGCUUA
rnacentral:tRNA from 1 species